AUUGAACGCUGGCGGCAGGCCUAACACAUGCAAGUCGAGCGAGCGGCGGACGGGUGAGUAAUGUCUGGGAAACUGCCUGAUGGAGGGGGAUAACUACUGGAAACGGUAGCUAAUACCGCAUACCAUCAGAUGUGCCCAGAUGGGUGUAGCUAGUAGGUGGGGUAAUGGCUCACCUAGGCGACGAUCCCUAGGUGGUCUGAGAGGAUGACUAGCCAAACUGGAACUGAUGCACGGUCCAGACUCCUUCUGGAGGUAGCAGUGGGGAAUAGUGCACAAUGGGCUCAAGCCUGAUGCAGCCAUGCCGCGUGUAUGAAGAAGGCCUUCGUGUUGUAAAGUACUUUCAGCGAGGAGGCGUUACUCGCAGAAGAAGCACCGGCUAACUCCGUGCCAGCAGCCGCGGUAAUUC
rnacentral:rRNA from 1 species